ACGGGGGGUGCGAGCGUUAUUCGGAUUUACUGGGCGUAAAGAGCGCGUAGGCGGUCUUUCAAGUCAGGUGUGAAAGCCCGGGGCUCAACCCCGGAAGUGCACUUGAAACUAAAAGACUUGAGUAUGGGAGAGGGAAGUGGAAUUCCUGGUGUAGCGGUGAAAUGCGUAGAUAUCAGGAGGAACAUCGGUGGCGAAGGCGACUUCCUGGACCAAUACUGACGCUGAGGCGCGAAGGCGUGGGGAGCAAACAGG
rnacentral:rRNA from 1 species